UUAAGCGACCAAGCGUACACGGUGGAUGCCCUGGCAGUCAGAGGCGAUGAAGGACGUGCUAAUCUGCGAUAAGCGCCGGUAAGGUGAUAUGAACCGUUAUAACCGGCGAUUUCCGAAUGGGGAAACCCAGUGUGACUCGUCACACUAUCAUUAACUGAAUCCAUAGGUUAAUGAGGCGAACCGGGGGAACUGAAACAUCUAAGUACCCCGAGGAAAAGAAAUCAACCGAGAUUCCCCCAGUAGCGGCGAGCGAACGGGGAGGAGCCCAGAGCCUGAAUCAGCAUGUGUGUUAGUGGAAGCGUCUGGAAAGGCGCGCGAUACAGGGUGACAGCCCCGUACACAAAAGCGCACAUGUUGUGAGCUCGAUGAGUAGGGCGGGACACGUGGUAUCCUGUCUGAAUAUGGGGGGACCAUCCUCCAAGGCUAAAUACUCCUGACUGACCGAUAGUGAACCAGUACCGUGAGGGAAAGGCGAAAAAGAACCCCGGCGAGGGGAGUGAAACAGAACCUGAAACCGUGUACGUACAAGCAGUGGGAGCACAGGUUUACCUGUGUGACUGCGUACCUUUUGUAUAAUGGGUCAGCGACUUAUAUUCUGUAGCAAGGUUAACCGCAUAGGGGAGCCGAAGGGAAACCGAGUCUUAAUUGGGCGUUAAGUUGCAGGGUAUAGACCCGAAACCCGGUGAUCUAGCCAUGGGCAGGUUGAAGGUUGGGUAACACUAACUGGAGGACCGAACCGACUAAUGUUGAAAAAUUAGCGGAUGACCUGUGGCUGGGGGUGAAAGGCCAAUCAAACCGGGAGAUAGCUGGUUCUCCCCGAAAGCUAUUUAGGUAGCGCCUCGUGAAUUCAUCUCCGGGGGUAGAGCACUGUUUCGGCUAGGGGGCCAUCCCGGCUUACCAACCCGAUGCAAACUGCGAAUACCGGAGAAUGUUAUCACGGGAGACACACGGCGGGUGCUAACGUCCGUCGUGAAGAGGGAAACAACCCAGACCGCCAGCUAAGGUCCCAAAGUCAUGGUUAAGUGGGAAACGAUGUGGGAAGGCCCAGACAGCCAGGAUGUUGGCUUAGAAGCAGCCAUCAUUUAAAGAAAGCGUAAUAGCUCACUGGUCGAGUCGGCCUGCGCGGAAGAUGUAACGGGGCUAAACCAUGCACCGAAGCUGCGGCAGCGACGCUUAUGCGUUGUUGGGUAGGGGAGCGUUCUGUAAGCCUGCGAAGGUGGCCUGUGAGGGUUGCUGGAGGUAUCAGAAGUGCGAAUGCUGACAUAAGUAACGAUAAAGCGGGUGAAAAGCCCGCUCGCCGGAAGACCAAGGGUUCCUGUCCAACGUUAAUCGGGGCAGGGUGAGUCGACCCCUAAGGCGAGGCCGAAAGGCGUAGUCGAUGGGAAACGGGUUAAUAUUCCCGUACUUGGUGUUACUGCGAAGGGGGGACGGAGAAGGCUAUGUUGGCCGGGCGACGGUUGUCCCGGUUUAAGCAUGUAGGCGGAGGUUCCAGGUAAAUCCGGUACCUUAUUAACGCUGAGGUGUGAUGACGAGGCACUACGGUGCUGAAGUAACAAAUGCCCUGCUUCCAGGAAAAGCCUCUAAGCAUCAGGUAACAUCAAAUCGUACCCCAAACCGACACAGGUGGUCAGGUAGAGAAUACCAAGGCGCUUGAGAGAACUCGGGUGAAGGAACUAGGCAAAAUGGUGCCGUAACUUCGGGAGAAGGCACGCUGACACGUAGGUGAAGUGGUUUACCCAUGGAGCUGAAGUCAGUCGAAGAUACCAGCUGGCUGCAACUGUUUAUUAAAAACACAGCACUGUGCAAACACGAAAGUGGACGUAUACGGUGUGACGCCUGCCCGGUGCCGGAAGGUUAAUUGAUGGGGUCAGCGCAAGCGAAGCUCCUGAUCGAAGCCCCGGUAAACGGCGGCCGUAACUAUAACGGUCCUAAGGUAGCGAAAUUCCUUGUCGGGUAAGUUCCGACCUGCACGAAUGGCGUAAUGAUGGCCAGGCUGUCUCCACCCGAGACUCAGUGAAAUUGAACUCGCUGUGAAGAUGCAGUGUACCCGCGGCAAGACGGAAAGACCCCGUGAACCUUUACUAUAGCUUGACACUGAACAUUGAGCCUUGAUGUGUAGGAUAGGUGGGAGGCUUUGAAGCGUGGACGCCAGUCUGCGUGGAGCCAACCUUGAAAUACCACCCUUUAAUGUUUGAUGUUCUAACGUGGACCCGUAAUCCGGGUUGCGGACAGUGUCUGGUGGGUAGUUUGACUGGGGCGGUCUCCUCCUAAAGAGUAACGGAGGAGCACGAAGGUUGGCUAAUCCUGGUCGGACAUCAGGAGGUUAGUGCAAUGGCAUAAGCCAGCUUGACUGCGAGCGUGACGGCGCGAGCAGGUGCGAAAGCAGGUCAUAGUGAUCCGGUGGUUCUGAAUGGAAGGGCCAUCGCUCAACGGAUAAAAGGUACUCCGGGGAUAACAGGCUGAUACCGCCCAAGAGUUCAUAUCGACGGCGGUGUUUGGCACCUCGAUGUCGGCUCAUCACAUCCUGGGGCUGAAGUAGGUCCCAAGGGUAUGGCUGUUCGCCAUUUAAAGUGGUACGCGAGCUGGGUUUAGAACGUCGUGAGACAGUUCGGUCCCUAUCUGCCGUGGGCGCUGGAGAACUGAGGGGGGCUGCUCCUAGUACGAGAGGACCGGAGUGGACGCAUCACUGGUGUUCGGGUUGUCAUGCCAAUGGCACUGCCCGGUAGCUAAAUGCGGAAGAGAUAAGUGCUGAAAGCAUCUAAGCACGAAACUUGCCCCGAGAUGAGUUUUCCCUGAGACUUUAAGUCUCCUGAAGGAACGUUGAAGACGACGACGUUGAUAGGCCGGGUGUGUAAGCGCAGCGAUGCGUUGAGCUAACCGGUACUAAUGAACCGUGAGGCUUAACCUU
rnacentral:rRNA from 1 species